rnacentral:rRNA from 1 species
AUCAACGACUGUGCCACAUUGAAUACACCAGUUCUCGUCGCAUCACUGAAGUUGAGAGACGUUGGGUGUGGUCAGAACUUGGAUGGAUGACCUGGGAGAUCACAUGUUGUUGGUU